AAGUCGUAACAAGGUUUCCGUAGGUGAACCUGCGGAAGGAUCAUUAACAAAUCUAUGAGCGAAAGCUCAUCAACCUUUGUGAAUUGGGUUGUGUAGUUGGUAACAAUUCUUCAACUUUGUUGGGGACCCUUUGUGUAUGUAAUGUAAUGUAAUAUAAUGUAAUAUAAUGUAAUAUAAUAGAAAGAUUAUUUCGAAAGAUUUAAUUUUUCUAUUGCAUGCAUGCAUAUCAUAUUAUAUCAUAUCAUAUCAUAUAUAAUAUUAACAUUGUCUGAUUAUAGAUUGAAGUCGUAAGAUUUCAAAUAAAAAUACAACUUUUAACAAUGGAUCUCUAGGCUCUU
rnacentral:misc_RNA from 1 species